GGGGAGCGGCGGAGGCCGUGCUGGCGGGCACCCGCCCGGAAGUUGACGCGGCGCGAUCCCAGCUGAGAGGAAGCUGAUAGGAUCAAGAAAACACAGGGAAGGUUCAGAAGUGGGGAGUGUUCUGCGGCACCUCUUUUAACGCUCGCUCGCUCGGUGUCACUCUUCCCUUGGUACUUACGGUCUUGCAGCCUCGGUGCCCUGUAACAAAGGUUAAAAAGCGAAAAUAAUUCCUGGCGUGGAGCGACGGUAGCCGGGCCGGGACCUUCUAAAACGGAACAGAGAAGCCUAAUGAGCGCGUAGUGAUGACGCAACACGCAGCCUAGGCUUUUCUCUUCCUCAGCGACUUGUAAGUGGAAAAUGUCUAGGCGCGCGCUGUUGUCAUGGUAGCCAAUACCCGCCUCUUUGCCCUGGGAGCUUGCUUGCGGCCUGUUUCUUCAGGCCUUCAGACUUGGGUCUUGGACUGGAACCACACCACCGGCUUUCCUGGACUUCCAGCUUGCAGAGGGACUUCUCAGCCUCCAAAAUUGAGCCCCUUGCAAAUGAAAGUCUAAAGAGCUCUACAAUGAUUUAUGAAGAAACUCAAAGACACACAAUUUAUAGGAAGAAGAUUUCUGAGAAUAAGAACUUCUUGGAAAAAUAAUUGCAGCAUCAAAGAAUGCUCUGGAUGAAACAGGUCCUGGACACAAAUUCCAGUUUGCAGCCUACAUUCCCUCAGUCUUACAUCUCAUUUUGGGUAUGCAAUUCUGUAGUUGUCUUUUUUCUUUGAGGUUACAAACUUGCAUGUGUAUGCAGGUGUUUUGAGAACUUGUUUUUGAAAAGUUGAUUGGUGGAAUGGAUUUGAAAAGACCACGAAGAAUCAGUGAUCCGUUAAGUAAAAACAAAUUUAACC